GUCGAGCGGAGCUUUGAUCGAAGGAGGUGGCUAGCGGAAGAAGACCGCUGGGGCAUCAGCCUGCGAGUCGCACUAGCGGGAGGUAGUCGUUGGCGGGAAAUGACCGCUGGGUAUUGCUAGCGCGCUGGACACGAGCCGUGCUAGCGGAAGAUGUCGCUGGACUCGCUGGAGGAUGGUGCUUCGUUUGAAGAAGCGGGGCGAUGGGUUGGUGCUGGACGUCGGGGCUGCUGAAGCGCGCUCUGGUGAUCGGGGCCUUGUCCAGCGG
rnacentral:lncRNA from 1 species